CAUCUUUGAUAAUAAUUAAUAUUGAUAUGUCUUAGGCUAAACGGACAAAGAAAGUUGGUGUGGUUGGAAAGUAUGGGACCCGUUAUGGUGCUUCUCUUCGGAAAAUGGUAAAAAAAAUUGAAAUCACACAGCACUCCAAGUACACGUGUACCUUCUGUGGCAAGGAAACAAUGAGACGAACCUGUGUUGGGAUUUGGAAGUGUAGAGCAUGU